rnacentral:tRNA from 1 species
GCGAAUGUAGUACAGUGGUAGUACAUCUGCUUCCCAAGCAGAGGACACGGGUUCAAUUCCCGUCAUUCGCA